AUGUACGCGCAAGUACACUCCGGUUCCUGCGCGCCGCCCGCACCCGCCUGACGGCCGCUCGCUACGUUUUGUUAGCG
rnacentral:sRNA from 2 species